rnacentral:rRNA from 1 species
AUUGAACGCUGGCGGCAUGCCUUACACAUGCAAGUCGAACGGUAACAGGUUAAGCUGACGAGUUGCGCACGGGUGAGUAGUGUAUCGGACAGUGCCCUGUCGUGGGCGAUAAUUUCUCGAAAGAUCAGGUAAUACCGCAUACGACCUGAGAGUAAAAGCGGGUGCUCGCAAGGCCUUGGACGAUUGGAGCGGCCGAGAUCAGAUUAGCUAGUUGGUGAGGUAAAGGCUCACCAAGCCGACGCCCUGUAGCUGGUCUGAGAGGACGACCAGCCACACUGGGAGUGAGACACGGCCCAGACGCCUACGGGAGGCAGCAGUGGGGAAUCUUGGACAAGGGGCGCAAGCCUGAGCCAGCCAUGCCGCGUGCGGGAAGAAGGCCUUCGGGUUGUAAACCGCUUUUGUCAGGGAAGAAAAGGUUCUGGCUAAUACCUGGGAGUCAUGACGGUACCUGAAGAAUAAGCACCGGCUAACUACGUG